rnacentral:rRNA from 1 species
UGCGCAGGCGGUUCCAUAAGACAGAUGUGAAAUCCCCGGGCUCAACCUGGGAACUGCAUUUGUGACUGUGGAGCUAGAGUACGGUAGAGGGGAUGGAAUUCCGCGUGUAGCAGUGAAAUGCGUAGAUAUGCGGAGGAACACCAAUGGCGAAGGCAAUCCCCUGGACCUGUACUGACGCUCAUGCACGAAAGCUGGGAGCAAACA